GCACUUGCACAGUACUAGCCGGUUUCGCGUCUGCCUGCGUUGCGUUGCCUUGCCCUCCCUACCCAGUACCCACCCCCCCACCGACCCACCCCCUCCGUGUUCCGCCGCCUCCGCCGAAAUCACCAAAUCCCCGCCUCCGAUCCGCCGCCGACCUCGAUCCGCCGCAGCCGUUGACCCGCCCAGAAUGGCCUCUGGGACUCCCUCGCCGUCCGGCAAACCCUACUCCCGCAAAUCUCACGCCAGCUCCAAGGCUCCCAGCGUCCCCUCCUUCGACGCCCACAACGGCCGGCUCCUCCCCACCGUCACCUUCCCGCUGCCCUCCACUACCGCCUCCCGCCGGGAGCUGCGGCGCCGCCUCUCCUCCGAGCUCUCCCAGGUGCGCGCCGCGGCCAAGCGCCUGAGCUCCCUCCCGGCUCCCGCACCUUCCUCGGCGCUCUCCGCCACCGACCCCUCCACGCCGCUCCCGCCGCACCCGCCGGGGUCCAAGCACAAGUCCAGGAAGCCCGGGGGAGCCCCGUACCCGCAGCCGCACCUCUCGGCGGAGGCGCGGCGCAAGCUCUACGCGCCCGUGUUCAAGACCUGCUCCGCGCUGCUCCAGAGGCUGAUGAAGCACAAGCACAGCUGGGUGUUCAACACUCCGGUAGACGCGAGCGCGCUUGGACUGCACGACUACCAUACGAUCAUCACCAAGCCCAUGGACCUCGGCACGGUCAAGUCAAAGCUAGCGGCUGGACAGUACAGGUCGCCACGGGAGUUUGCAGGCGAUGUGCGUCUCACGUUCCGGAACGCCAUGACGUACAACCCCAAGGGGCAGGACGUGCACUUCAUGGCCGAGCAGCUGCUGAACAUGUUCGAGGAGAAGUGGUUGGAGAUUGAGGCUGAGCUAGCUCAGCUAUCGCCACAGCCUCCGACACCAUCCUCAGCAGCACCCAGGAAGCCCAAGGAGAUAGAUAAUUCUAGGGCAUUAGAGAGGUCGGAUUCGACAGUUCAUGCUGCCGGGAUGGAGGCUACCCCAAAGACGCACAAUGGCAGACCCCCGGUUUCAAAGAAGCCCAAGGCAAGGGAGCCCAAUAAGAGGGAUAUGACAUUCUGGGAGAAGCAGCGGCUUAGCAAUAACCUCCAGGAUUUGCCACCGGAGAAGCUAGACAAUGUUGUCCAGAUCAUAAAGAAGAGGAACUCGUCGCUCAACCAGCAUGACGAUGAGAUUGAGGUUGAUAUCGAUAGCUUUGAUGUUGAGACGUUAUGGGAGCUUGAUAGAUUCGUGACAAACUAUAGGAAGAGUAUAACUAAGAAUAAGCGGAAGGCUGAGCUUUCUGCGGUAAGGCCAGAUGAAGCUGAUCCUGAUCAGGAGCCAGAGAAGGUAGAACGUGUGAGGCAGGACGAGGCAGAUCAGGAUCGAAUCCCUGCAGUACAAGAGCCGAUUCCAGAACCAGAAUCAGUUGAUGUCGAGCCACCUAAGGAAAUUGCAGCAGAUGACAAUGGGAGAUAUGUGGGUGAAUCAUCACCUGGUCAUUUGGAAGAUCAGGAGGGAGAGAAUCCUGGUAGAUCAAGUAGUUCUGGAAGCUCUAGCAGUGACUCAGGGUCGUCCUCUAGUGAUACAGACACAGAUAGUUCAUCAGCAGAUGGUUCUGAUGCUGCACAAUCGCCCAGAACGUAGCAUCUAUAGGCCAGAAGGCUUCGUCUGACUUACAGAGAGGAUGCUAAUGUUUCUGGUUGUUAAGUUUACAUGAGCAGGCCAAAUUCAUCUUCUUGCUCAAGAAAGCUGCAUAUCAUUACAUUAAGAAAGAAAACACCAAGUACAAAGGGAGGUGCGAGACCUCCCUGAAUUCAUAACAGCACUUACAAAAACACCUAUAGAAAGAAACCCUGCACAGCUACCUUUGCGGCUACGGGAGAAUCACACUCCAUGAGAGGAGAUCUUGCAUUCCAGAGGCCCCGGCUAGACACCACCAGUGACUCUACAGCCACAUGGGCAAGAACUAUUUGCGCCUGAGGGCGGAUUCCAUCAAACACGCAGGCAUUCCUGUGCUUCCACAAUUCUUGGGUGACUAGGAUGACCAAGGAAUUGAAACCUUUCCGCAGACCUUUUUCAAUAGAAACGGUUGCCUUUCUCCACCAAGAACAAAAGCGGCUUGAGCUGGGCGGCAAAACGUUCAGCCCGAGUUCCCUUAAUAAACAUGCCCAUACCUCCCUGGAGAGCACACAGGCAGAAAGAAUUUGGUUGAUGGAUUCCUCCACCUGGUCACAGAAAGGGCAGGCUGGCUGGUGGGAUAAGCCUCACUUCGCCAAGCGAUAAAAAAAUUCAACACUUGUUGCUGAUGGCCAACCAAAUGAAGAACCUGCAUUUAGGAGGCGUCCAACUUCUCCAGAUCCGUUUCCAUGGAGAAAAACAGACGAUCCUUGUAAACAUGGAACUAUAUCCCUGAUUUUUCUUGCUAGCCAGGUUUUUGGUAUUGAUAUCUCUGCAUCUAUCCGGCUCUAGAUUUAGGUAUAGCACCAAAUUAGUAUACAAGAUUCUUUAGAAAUAAAUGUAUCAUUGAUUGGUGCUACUACCCCCCAGAAUUCGAGGAAGAGUGAUCAAUUGUAUAGCUGCUGCUUUUUGACGUACACUGGCUGGUCCACUGGUUGUUUAUUAUUCAAAUUAAAAUUCUAACUAUAUUUGGAAAACUGAGAGGGAGAUAUUCUUAUCACACUUGAUUGAAGUUUAUCUGCUCUUCCUUUUCCGGAUUUCAAGUAGGCUUGCUUGGUAUCAUUUCCCAUUUUCAUCAUUGAGGAAGUAUCAGGUGCACAAUAGUGUAUUGGCGCACAUGUGCGCAAACUUAAUCCCAUCCCUCUUAUCCAGCCUGAAUGGCCCAGGUGAGAGGCGGAAAUUCCCCCAUCCCCCUUGUUCACCUUUUAAGUGGACCAUAUCUAAAUGUGCUUAAGAUAGCCUAAGGGGGGUGAGGAGAUUUGUACCUCCCACCUGAGCCAUUCAGAUUGAAUUUGAGGUGUGAGAUCGAGUUUGUUCUCAUGUGCACCGAUAUACUCUUCAGUAUCUGAUACUUACUCUUUCACCAUCUAUUUAUAUGUAGUCAUCCUGGGCUAGCUGCCUAGCCCCUCAGGUACUACUAUUUGCUAAUAUUUUUGCCCAUGGAACCAUGGAAGAAAGUUCUCCAAUUCAGAUAUUUUUUCUGCAGUUAUUUUAUGGAUAUUUGCGAAAAAGUAAUUUCUCCUGAAAACACGCCAUGUGCAAAUUCCACACUAGUCAGUGUAUCGUAAAGGUGUAAACAUCUAGCAGAUUUUGUCCUCUUUUUUUUCGUACACAAUAUUUUCUUAAACUUAUUGAGGUACUUGAUUGUCUUAUUCUGUCCCUUUCCCUACCCUUGAGGCCUAGACAAUAUCCUCCAGAGCCUUGGCGAAUUAGAAUAAGUGCAGCAAUUUUAGUCAUUUAGUUUGUUAUACAUAAUGGGAUGUACAUCUGAAGCCAAAUGUAGCAUAUAUAGAUGUCUUGAUUUGAUACAUUACCACAAGCUGCACUAAGUUUAAACUGUUUAAGUGACUGGUUUUUGUUCUAUUUCCUAGUGUUAUUGCAAGGCGCUUAUGGCAUACUUGUUCUUUUUUUUCCCCUAUCAUUUAUACUCAUUAUUUUAUGUAUUUUUUUUUGUCCAGUGAGGUUGUUUCACUACUCGUUUUGCAUAAAAUUUUGUUUCUUUUAAAGCAAGUUUUUAGCGAAUCAUGAUAUUGAUGGGGGCACUGGAAAGGACAUAGCAACUUAGUUCAACUAAGGAAGGAUUCUAGCGUGAAAUUGUCGGGCGGCGACUGUUGUAAAUUUUGGUCAUAUAGGAACUCUAACCCAGUGCCAUGCUGUUUGUCGUUUUGUCCACACAAGUGGUUGUCCGAUAUAGCACAUGCUCCGAUUUCAUUUGUACAACUACCCGCAGUUGUGUAGGGUGCCGUGUUUGCCUAGUCGUCGAGCUGCAAGUUACCUCACAUUGGAAUUGGAUAGGAGGAGACCUGAAACCUGGGGCAGUGAAACAAGUGGCGAGGUGAAGACCAGGAACCUGGCGAGCCUCGCCCUGUUGUAAGAUGGUACGAUUGCUAUAGCCGUGUAAUUUUUUUUUGUUGAAUCAGUUUUCAUUUUUAGUAAAAGGUUUGCAUUGCCAUUGAUCGUC